UAUUUAAAGACUACAAGAAGGACAUUCAAUCCAACAUAUGCAAGCAUUAGGUUUAUAGAUAUCACAAACUCCAUAUCCUGUUCCCGCAUGAAUCCGUAUUCAAGAAUGGUCAAUGAAAAGAAGAGCUCCUCUAGCUACAAGUAUGGAAUGAAAUGGUCUUCAAACUUUUUCGCCGGUCAGGCAAGUGGUGGAAGUGUUAUUGGUCAUGGUGUUGACUUGAACUUAGUGAAAGGGAAAAACUCUGAACGUGUAUGCUGAUCACAUAUCAACCUCAUCUGAUAGUAGCAGUGAAACCAGCUCAGAGGAUUCAUCUGAAUGGAUAUUUCAAGGAAUAAGCCGUGUUCAAGCUAGAGUUAUAGAGACACUCGAUGAUCCUCUACUGGAUAUUUCAAAGCAGUGACUCAGAUAGUGAUGAUUCAGGGGAGGAAUAAUACCCUGGGGUGUAUAGCUGGACCAGAGAGAUCACGUAUGCGAAAAUUGCCCAGAAGAACUUGCAUGUAGUUAUGUAUUAUCUGCACACUUUUACGCAUGCUUUAAGUUUUCAAACACAGUUAAGUGACCUGUUAAAAUUAAUGUGUUGUAACCACCACUAUUAGUGAGCAUUAUGAAAGAAGUGUA